ACAGUUUCGGCAGGACGUCCCCCAUCAGAAACAGGUUGGCAGUUUUAAUGUCUGGAUCCACUUUGAUGAUGUUUGGCUUGGCAUGAUGGAGAAAGUGGCGGAAAUUCCACCAAUGGGAAGACGCACCCUAAAAAAAUCACGAAUCAAGUGAUGUGCUAUGUGGUUCAGCUUACGGCUUCUGAACACAGAGAGAUGACCAAAGUCAUGUUGUAGCCAUCCUGCCUGCGCCUGAACAAAAUAUACAUACAAAUUAACACAAGAUUGGCUGGGACAGACAAGCCACAGACACAAUAACAGAAUGGACGGCCCAUUUGUUUUUAUAUACCCUUUUAAAAGGGCGUCAAAAAACAGUACAUGCCCAAUCCUCAAAACAAACCAGAAAGUGAACAUUACCUGGGAGAUGAGGAAACAAGCUG